UGCGUAGGCGGUUUUUCAAGUCAGGAGUGAAAGGCUAUGGCUCAACCAUAGUAAGCUCUUGAAACUGUUAAACUUGAGUGCAGGAGAGGAAAGUGGAAUUCCUAGUGUAGAGGUGAAAUUUGUAGAUAUUAGGAGGAACACCAGUGGCGAAGGCGACUUUCUGGACUGUAACUGACGCUGAGGCACGAAAGCGUGGGGAGCGAACA
rnacentral:rRNA from 1 species